rnacentral:rRNA from 1 species
UUGACCUCGGAUCAGGUAGGGAUACCCGCUGAACUUAAGCAUAUCAAUAAGCGAGGGAGA